rnacentral:rRNA from 1 species
AGCAGCCGCCGCGGGAAUACGGAGGGUGCGAGCGUUAAUCGGAAUAACUGGGCGUAAAGGGCACGCAGGCGGUUAUUUAAGUGAGGUGUGAAAGCCCCGGGCUUAACCUGGGAAUUGCAUUUCAGACUGGGUAACUAGAGUACUUUAGGGAGGGGUAGAAUUCCACGUGUAGCGGUGAAAUGCGUAGAGAUGUGGAGGAAUACCGAAGGCGAAGGCAGCCCCUUGGGAAUGUACUGACGCUCAUGUGCGAAAGCGUGGGGAGCAAACAGGAUUAGAUACCCGCGUAGUCCCUGUCUCUUAUAC